UACAGAGGUCCCAAGCGUUGUUCGGAUUCAUUGGGCGUAAAGGGUGUGUAGGUGGCGCCGUAAGUCGGGUGUGAAAUCUCGGGGCUUAACUCCGAAACUGCAUUCGAUACUGCGGUGCUUGAGGACUGGAGAGGAGACUGGAAUUCAUGGUGUAGCAGUGAAAUGCGUAGAGAUCAUGAGGAACACCAGUGGCGAAGGCGGUGCUCUGGGCCGGAACUGACGCUGAGGAGCGAAAGCGUGGGGAGCAAACAGG
rnacentral:rRNA from 1 species